GGCGGGCGUUGCUCGGAGGCACUUGCAGGUUGCCUCCUUGCCUGUUGGGUGGCCGUCCCUCGGGCCGCGGAGGCGACGCCCAGAUGCGGCCUGGCCAGAGGGGUUUUCUCGCGGUUCGGAGCUGCUCCCUCCCGGGGUGGUCCCAGCUGUUGCACACAUUUAAGAAGUAACCUAGCAAAAAAUACCAGCCCUGGGACCAAAGGGAGAAUCACUGCCUCUUCAGCUCCUACCCAGGAAUACACCAUUGAAAUAUCAACUAUAGAAACCCUUUACCCCACAGGAGGGUUGAUGGAGGUUUGCAGACAGACUCUUCUGGGAUCAGCACGGAAGAGAUGCCAUAUCCCACCCCAAACAAGCGCAGCUGAAUCCUAA
rnacentral:lncRNA from 1 species